GACGAACGCUGGCGGCGUGCCUAAUACAUGCAAGUAGAACGCAGUUGCGAACGGGUGAGUAACGCGUAGGUAACUGACUGGGAGCGGGGGAUAACUAUUGGAAACGAUAGCUAAUACCGCAUACUACCAGAUGGACCUGCGUGUUAUUAGCUAGUUGGUUAGGUAACGGCUUACCAAGGCAACGAUACAAAGCCGACUUGGGAGGGUGAUCGGCCACAAUGGGACUGGGACACGGCCCAGACCCCUACCGGAGGCAGCAGUAGGGAAUCUUCGGCAAUGGGGGGAACCCUGACCGAGCAACGCCGCGUGAGUGAAGAAGGUUUUCGGAUCGUUAAGCUCUGUUGUUAAGUAAGCGGUACUUAACCAGAAAGGGACGGCUAACUACGUGCCAGCAGCCGCGGUAAUUC
rnacentral:rRNA from 1 species